rnacentral:rRNA from 1 species
GCAGUAGCCGCGGUAAAACAGAGGGUGCGAGCGUUAAUCGGAUUUACUGGGCGUAAAGCGUGCGUAGGCGGCUUUUUAAGUCGGAUGUGAAAUCCCUGAGCUUAACUUAGGAAUUGCAUUCGAUACUGGGAAGCUAGAGUAUGGGAGAGGAUGGUAGAAUUCCAGGUGUAGCGGUGAAAUGCGUAGAGAUCUGGAGGAAUACCGAUGGCGAAGGCAGCCAUCUGGCCUAAUACUGACGCUGAGGUACGAAAGCAUGGGGAGCAAACAGGAUUAGAUACCCCAGUAGUCCCUGUCUCUUAUAA